rnacentral:tRNA from 1 species
GCCCCCGUAGCUCAGUUGGUAGAGCAGCUCCCUUUUAAGGAGAAGGUCAGGGGUUCGAAUCCUCUCGGGGGCACAA